UCAUCCACCUAGGACAAAGAAUUCGCAUCAUCCUUCAGCAGGUUAAACUGAAAAACAAUUACCUGGAGCCAGGAUAUGGCUUUUCAUUGUUUGUUUGUUUGCUUGUUUGUUUUCUCAUCUUACUUAUUUUAUUUAAUAUGAGUACACUGUAGCUUAGCUGUCUUCAGACACACCAGAAGGGGGCAUCAGUUCCCAUUACAGAUGGUUGUGAGCCACCGUGUGGUUGCUGGGAAUUGAACUCUGGACCUCUGGAAGAGCAGUCAAUGCUCUUAUCUGCUGAGCCAGACCUUUUCCAGACAGGGUCUCACUAUCUACAUCUGGGUGUCCUGGAACUCAUUAUGUAGACCAGGCUGGCCUUGAACUCACAGAGAUCCACCCGCCUCUGUCUCUCAAGUAUGGGAUUUUAAUUUACUUUUCAAAAUAUUUACCUAGCAGUCAGGAGAAUGAAACAGAAACACGGCUGAGCUAGGCCCCAGAUAACCCGGCUGCCAACUGGUACCGUCCUAGCAGCAGCACUCCAUAAUCCCAGGAAGCCAGCCAGCCAGGCAGCCUCGGUCCUCUGUUCCCCUUGCUGGAGAAGCACUGUGCUUUGUACAUCAAGAACACAGGACACUCUAAACAAAGACAAGGGGCUGGAGAGAUGGCUCAGAGAGUAAGUCCAGCUCCUAGCACCUACGCCAGGCAGCCCACAGUCACCUGUAAUUCCAGCUCCAAGGGACGUCAGGCCUCUGGCCUCAGGAGGCAUUUUUGCAUUAGUGUACACAUGCCACCGACCACCGGUAAUAGUCUGAGACACACAGACACACACACACACACGCACACGCACACAAGAAAUCAUUGUUUUGUUUUGUUUGUUUUUGUUUGUAGGGAGGGAGAGAGAAGCAGUAGAUGAGAGAAAAGGAACUAUAACCAACCAAAAACUGUAUAUGUGUAUUUUAAAACCCCACUGAACGUCUUUCUUCCUGGACAGCCUGAAACUAACUAUAUAGACCAGGCUGGACUCAAACUCCACAAAAAUCGACUUGCCUCUCUGUUAAUGGCUUUCUCCACCUGACUGUCCCAGUGUUAUACUGAAUUUUAGUGUGAGGCAUAAGGAGAGAGUCACAUUGCAGAUGAAAUCACAUAACAAUACGGUUUCGUUUUGUCCUGUUUUUAGAACAUUUUGAGACAGGGUCUGUCACUUUGCAGGCCUGGCCAUCCUGGAACUCACUGUGUAGACCAGGCUGGCCUCAAACUCCCAGAAAUCCACUUGUGUCUGCUUCCCAAGUGCUGGGCUUAAAGCUGUGCCCCGCCAUGCUGGCCACUGAGAAGAUGUAUGUGCGCCACAUACAUGCAGCAGCCUGAGGCGCUCCGGAGAGGGCUUAUUGGGUGCCCAGGACCGGGAACCCAGACUUGGGUGACCCCACAUACCAAUGUCCCAACUCAGUGUCGGUUUCGUGAUGUUUCUGUAGAAGAGAACGCAGAAAACGACAGGUAAAUACAUCAAGAGCCUUUGAAAGUACAGCGGCGGAGACCCGCGGCAGGGGCAGGCAGGCAGGUUGGAGCGUCGCAGGGAGACCCCUGCGGUGGGGCUGGCUCCUGUGCUGCCCGACUCCUGUGCUCCGACUUGGAGAAGACGGGCGUCCGUUCGUCCAUACCCAAAAGAGUCGGCCACAAGGAUGUUGGCACCUGGGGGUGGGCCACGAGCGGCCAGUUAGGGGUAAGAGACGGUGCAAGGUGACUUGUCCCUGGUCCUUCACCGCUCCAGCACUGCGCCAGUGAGAAAGUCCAACAGGCCCCGGGAUCGGGCGGCGAAAGGAAGGGGCGUGAUGUCACUCCUGGGUGGCUGACGGGGCGGGGUGUAUGCAGAUGAGGGUCGCGCAGGGGCUGCGGCGUCCGCAGCGGCCGGGGAAACGCGAGAGAUUUCUCGCGCGGCGUGGGAGAGAACGCGGGUCGCCAGAUGUCAGCGGAGCGCCGAGACGGCGUGUGCGACGAGGGAGACCCGAGAUCGGGCGGGGCUAAGUGACCGCUCUAGCGCACGCCCCGGGUGACCAGCCCCUCGCGCGACCGUGCCCCGGAUCUACGCGGAGCCCUGCUGGGCGCUCGGGCCGCGACCCCGCCAGCGUGGGCCUCCCAUGGGCCCCCGAUCACCCGGUGGCGGCGGGACCCCAGCGUCUGGGAGACGCCGGCUACACCUUGCCACGAAUCCCGCGGUCCUCGCAGGUGUGGCCGCCGCGGUGACGCCUGCCUGAACAAGGAACCGGCGUGGCAGGCUCACCACCGUCUCUGUGGCGCAAUCGGUUAGCGCGUUCGGCUGUUAACCGAAAGGUUGGUGGUUCGAGCCCACCCAGGGACGACAGACAGUUAGGCCUCACCUAGGCUUU